GGGGUUGUGGCUCAGUGGUAGAGCAUUCACCUAGCAUGUGUGAGGCUCUGGGUUCUAUCCUCAGCACCA
rnacentral:tRNA from 1 species